rnacentral:rRNA from 1 species
GUCGAGGGAGAUCUGCACUUUCGGGUGUGGGGAGACCGGCGAACGGGUGAGUAUCACGUGAGGAACCUGCCCCUAAGACCGGGAUAACCAUUGGAAACGGUGGCUAAUACCGGAUGUUCUUGUUGCCCUGCAUGGGGCGGUGAGGAAAUGGUCUGCCGCUUAGGGAUGGCCUCGCGGCCUAUCAGCUUGUUGGUGGGGUAAUGGCCUACCAAGGCUUCGACGGGUAGCUGGCGUGAGAGCGCGAUCAGCCACACUGGGACUGAGACACGGCCCAGACUCCUACGGGAGGCAGCAGUGGGGAAUCUUGCGCAAUGGGCGAAAGCCUGACGCAGCGACGCCGCGUGCGGGAAGAAGGCCUUCGGGUUGUAAACCGCUUUCAGGAGGGAAGAAGCGCGAGUGACGGUACCUCCAGAAGAAGGACCGGCCAACUACGUGCCAGCAGCCGCGGUAAUACGUAGGGUCCGAGCGUUGUCCGGAAUUAUUGGGCGUAAAGAGCUCGUAGGCGGUCCAUUGAGUCGACUGUGAAAUCUCACGGCUCAACCGUGAAACUGCAGUUGAUACUGGUGGACUUGAGGCAGGUAGAGGAAGGUGGAAUUCCUGGUGUAGCGGUGGAAUGCGCAGAUAUCAGGAGGAACACCAGUGGCGAAGGCGGCCUUCUGGGCCUUGCCUGACGCUGAGGAGCGAAAGCGUGGGGAGCGAACAGGCUUAGAUACCCUGGUAGUCCACGCUGUAAACGAUGGGUGCUAGGUGUAGGGGGUUAUCCACUCCUUCUGUGCCGUAGCUAACGCAUUAAGCACCCCGCCUGGGGACUACGACCGCAAGGUUAAAACUCAAAGGAAUUGACGGGGGCCCGCACAAGCGGCGGAGCAUGUGGCUUAAUUCGAAGCAACGCGAAGAACCUUACCAAGGCUUGACAUGCAGGAAAAGCCGCAGAGAUGCGUGUCCUUUCGGGGUCCUGCACAGGUGUGGCAUGGUGUCGUCAGCUCGUGCCGUGAGGGUGUUGGGUAAGUCCCGAACGAGCGCAACCCUGUCUAUGUGCAGCAGUGAUGUCGGACUCAUGGAAUUCUGCCGGUUCAACGAGAGUGGGAUGA